ensembl:lncRNA
UUUCACGCACACGGAUUUACCUCAGUGACUUCUGCAGAGACUGAAGUUAGUGUUCCGCACGCAGUGAAUGUCCAGCUGUGUCAACAGGAGAUCUGGAUACAGAUGGGAGAAUCUGCUCUCUCGUUGCAGUUGAGCCGCAUUUUUAAGGCCACGUGGAGAGGGCUUCCGCAUCAACGCGGUGGGGCGUGUGAAGACGGCCGAGGCGGAGCAGCGGCGGAGCCCCACCUUGAGCCGAAGACCAUCGGAGCUCUUCAAUCAAAUCCAUCAGAAAACUCGUAUGGCUCUGGACUGCAAAUACACAACUAUAUUAAUUUCAGAAGACGAGCAAACAAACUACUUUUUAAAAAGAGCCGAAGGAGCUAAAGUGAAUAUAAAAUCCACAAAAAAAACGAUGCACGAAACGUGUGAUGCCAUUAGAUCAUGUUUUGUUUAUCGUGGAGACAAAG